rnacentral:rRNA from 1 species
AGAGUUUGAUCCUGGCUCAGGAUAAACGCUAGCGGCAGGCUUAACACAUGCAAGUCGAGGGGCAGCGAGGAGUAGCAAUACUCUGUCGGCGACCGGCGCAAGGGUGCGUAACGCGUGAGCAACUUGCCCUGGACAGGGGGAUAAGCAUUGGAAACGAUGUCUAAUACCCCAUAACAACAGACCUUACAUGGGGUUUGUUUGAAAGGUAUUUAUACCGGUUUAGGAUGGGCUCGCGUAACAUUAGUUAGUUGGUAGGGUAACGGCCUACCAAGACUACGAUGUUUAGGGGAACUGAGAGGUUGGUCCCCCACACUGGAACUGAGACACGGUCCAGACUCCUACGGGAGGCAGCAGUGAGGAAUAUUGGUCAAUGGCCGGAAGGCUGAACCAGCCAUGCCGCGUGAAGGAAUGAGGCCCUAUGGGUCGUAAACUUCUUUUGUAAGGGAGCAAUAAGGGUUAUGUAUAGCCCGAUGAGAGUACCUUAUGAAUAAGCAUCGGCUAACUCCGUGCCAGCAGCCGCGGUAAUACGGAGGAUCCGAGCGUUAUCCGGAUUUAUUGGGUUUAAAGGGAGCGUAGAUGGAUGUUUAAGUCAGUUGUGAAAGUUUGCGGCUCAACCGUAAAAUUGCAGUUGAUACUGGAUGUCUUGAGUGCAGUUGAGGCAGGCGGAAUUCGUGGUGUAGCGGUGAAAUGCUUAGAUAUCACGAAGAACUCCGAUUGCGAAGGCAGCCUGCUAAGCUGCAACUGACAUUGAGGCUCGAAAGUGUGGGUAUCAAACAGGAUUAGAUACCCUGGUAGUCCACACGGUAAACGAUGAAUACUCGCUGUUUGCGAUAUACGGCAAGCGGCCAAGCGAAAGCGUUAAGUAUUCCACCUGGGGAGUACGCCGGCAACGGUGAAACUCAAAGGAAUUGACGGGGGCCCGCACAAGCGGAGGAACAUGUGGUUUAAUUCGAUGAUACGCGAGGAACCUUACCCGGGCUUAAAUUGCACUCGAAUGAUCCGGAAACGGUUCAGCUAGCAAUAGCGAGUGUGAAGGUGCUGCAUGGUUGUCGUCAGCUCGUGCCGUGAGGUGUCGGCUUAAGUGCCAUAACGAGCGCAACCCUUGUUGUCAGUUACUAACAGGCGAUGCUGAGGACUCUGACAAGACUGCCAUCGUAAGAUGUGAGGAAGGUGGGGAUGACGUCAAAUCAGCACGGCCCUUACGUCCGGGGCUACACACGUGUUACAAUGGGGGGUACAGAGGGCCGCUACCACGCGAGUGGAUGCCAAUCCCUAAAACCCCUCUCAGUUCGGACUGGAGUCUGCAACCCGACUCCACGAAGCUGGAUUCGCUAGUAAUCGCGCAUCAGCCACGGCGCGGUGAAUACGUUCCCGGGCCUUGCACACACCGCCCGUCAAG